ACGCAAAAGAGAUUUUAAACUUAAAUGGACGCUAAUUUGAAAGCCAAAUCCUCAAAAUCUCCGCGAUUUUGAACGACUUCUUGAGGACGAGGCUUAUCUUCAGUUCUUCACUUCCCUUUGUCCUUUCGUUGAACAUUGUGUCAUUAGUGGAUACUACAGCAAACAAUGGAAAGAAGGGUUUGUUAUCAAAGCGGAAACAAUCACUCAGCAAGACUCAUUCACAGGUUGCUAGGUUCAGUGGGUAUUGAUCUCAAGACAUGUCUCUAGGAAGCCAACUACCAUUCUGAACAGGGGAAAUCUGGGAAGAGGGCAUUUUGGUCAUUUUAUUAUGAAUCAAUGUUAUUUAAUUGUUUCAUUUUUUAAUUUGUAUAAGCUACGAUGCUAUUUUACUUUUGCCAAUGCCAACUAUAAAUCUGUUCAUGGGCAAUAUAAUCAUUAAGUUAUGUA